UCCACUUUUUUUGCAUGCCCUAUAUGUUGCUAUACCCAAAAUCUCACAGACAGGAUUGCCAAUAUGUUCCAUUGCUUACCUUGCACUUUCAAGCCUCAACUCUCAUGCAUUGAACAAUUGUCCUUGGAAAAUUUUCUUAAUGCGCCCUCCACAAUAAUUCUUUCCUACAUUCAAUUCUUUCUGCACAUUUUCUAAGGAUUGCACAUCAUACACACUACAAUAAUUACAAAUUACCUCUUACAAUUCUAUGAAGGUUGAUGUACUUGAUAGGCAUGAUAUUCCUCGCCAUGAUGUGCAAAAUGUCAUAUAUUCGCUUUGUACUACUGAACAUGAGUGCAACUUACUUGGACAUAAGCCAUUAGACAUCUUACAGCUUUCAACAGCUCUCUAAAUAUUUGACUCUUUAAAAACUAUUUUUUAGCAUGUGAGAACACUUUGUUCUCGAAGAUGAAAGUGUUGAAAAUCAUCUGGCCAUUAACAUUCGAUUUUUUUUAGAGGAGUUGUUUAAAUUUGGA